GACGAACGCUGGCGGCGUGCUUAACACAUGCAAGUCGAACGGAAAGGCCCUGCUUUUGUGGGGUGCUCGAGUGGCGAACGGGUGAGUAACACGUGAGUAACCUGCCCUUGACUUUGGGAUAACUUCAGGAAACUGGGGCUAAUACCGGAUAGGAGCUCCUGCUGCAUGGUGGGGGUUGGAAAGUUUCGGCGGUUGGGGAUGGACUCGCGGCUUAUCAGCUUGUUGGUGGGGUAGUGGCUUACCAAGGCUGUGACGGGUAGCCGGCCUGAGAGGGUGACCGGCCACAUUGGGACUGAGAUACGGCCCAGACUCCUACGGGAGGCAGCAGUGGGGAAUAGUGCACAAUGGGCGGAAGCCUGAUGCAGCAACGCCGCGUGCGGGAUGACGGCCUUCGGUUUGUAAACCGCUUUCGCCUGUGACGAAGCGUGAGUGACGGUAAUGGGUAAAGAAGCACCGGCUAACUACGUG
rnacentral:rRNA from 1 species